UACGUAGGGUCCGAGCGUUGUCCGGAAUUACUGGGCGUAAAGAGCUCGUAGGUGGUUUGUCGCGUUGUUCGUGAAAACUCACAGCUUAACUGUGGGCGUGCGGGCGAUACGGGCAGACUGGAGUACUGCAGGGGAGACUGGAAUUCCUGGUGUAGCGGUGGAAUGCGCAGAUAUCAGGAGGAACACCGGUGGCGAAGGCGGGUCUCUGGGCAGUAACUGACGCUGAGAAGCGAAAGCAUGGGGAGCGAACAGG
rnacentral:rRNA from 1 species